rnacentral:rRNA from 1 species
UACGUAGGGGGCGAGCGUUAUCCGGAUUCAUUGGGCGUAAAGCGCGCGUAGGCGGCGCGUCAAGCGGGACCUCUAACCCCGGGGCUCAACCCCGGGCCGGGUCCCGGACUGGCGCGCUCGAGUGCGGUAGAGGCGAGUGGAAUUCCCGGUGUAGCGGUGGAAUGCGCAGAUAUCGGGAAGAACACCGAUGGCGAAGGCAGCUCGCUGGGCCGACACUGACGCUGAGGCGCGAAAGCUGGGGGAGCGAACAG